AAUUGCCCCAAGCUCUGCAUAUAAAUGUGCUUUACAAAGGUGUUUGGAUUAAAGAUGUCUGGCUGCAGCUUCAUUAAACAAACUGUUAAUUAAUCUCAAAUAUUAUCUAGGUUGCCAAGGGCUUUUCCUUUGUAGACAAUGAGGGUUUAUCUGUGGAAUCUCCAGCCACUGAGGCUUUCUCCCCUCCUGUAUAUGCCAAGCCCGUGAAUUUUUCCCCAUACAGAGCUCUGGCCAUAGUGGUGCAAGUGCAGCCAAGCACUAAAGCCUUCCCCUGGAACUUUGAGCUGCCAGAUCUUGUUCCCCACCUGGACUGAACUCCUGUCCUCACAUUGUGGAAUGCAGACCUCACCUGUAAAGUUGCAUCAAGGACAAACACAAUAUUAACUUGUCUUUUAGGACAUCAGGCUUUUUCAAGCAUUAUUCUUAAAAGAGGACAUUUGUUAACAAGGGAAAACUCCAGCAAUAGUAGCCAUUCCCACAAAUUUUUUCCCACUAGAUCCUGCAGAGUUCACCAGGUUCUGAUCUGGUCUCCACUCUUACUACUGAAUUAGGAUGAUGGACAAAACCAAGAGGGAUCACUCCUUAAAACCUCUCAGAUGACAGAGUUUAGGGCUAGACUAACCAUCUAGUCUACUAGUCUCACUCUUAGUCACAACCUGACCCUGCUUUUGCAAGACUGUUGGCUUCAAUAAUGCUCUAACCAAGGAAAUGUCACCUUGAAUUUUGACCCAUUUUUCUUUAUUACAUCAUCUCUGCUCUCUUUAAUCUGUUUUGUCUCAGAGUAUGUCUGCUCCUUUUGCAUCAGCUACUGGGUCCCAUCUGCAGAUUAACUUCAGCUUUUGCUUGCCUCUGAUCUUUUUCUCAUUCUUCUAAUGAACAUACCAAAAGGUGGUUAAAAAAAACAUUAUUUCUGGAAUAAUGAAUGAAUAUCAUAAGGAAGAAUAUAAUAGUUCUUUCUGUCUCCUCUGAUUACGAAAGCAAAUAAAUAGAAAAAGUUAUGGAGCUGUUAGUGGAGGAAAAAGGACAAUUACAAGUGAGCCUAAAUUUAGAAUUAUGAGUUUGAGCCAAAGCCCUCUGAGGACCAUGAGAGUCUUUCCACCCACUUCAAAAGGAUGUGGAGCACACCUCGUCCUACCUCACUGCUCAGCAAAGCUUUGGACAAGAGCUGUGUUAACAACCCAGGGAAAUGUUCUUGAAGGUUAAACCCAGCUUAUUUUCAAAGGGAAAGUUUGACAAAUUUUGCCAGACUCUGGACUUUAAUUAAAACACUGGAACAUUUCAAAGUGACAACUAUGUUAAAGCCUUUUUCUUCCAUAUUCCUACUUGGGUGGAUCAAGUGAAGUAAAGGAAAAAAGACAGUCUCUGCUGCAAGUUUUUCUUUCAUUCAGAUGCCUACCCACACCCCAGUCACAGAAAGGAAAAAGGACUGCUUUGACCUCCUCAAUAUCUUAUGCAGACCUAAAAUUAUUUAUACAUGUUGCCCUGUUAUUACACAAAGAACACAUCUGCUGUCUUUAAAAAAACAUUAUUGCCAGUCGUACUGCUCCUGUGAUGAUCUUGUGUAUCAGAACUAUAUUUAGAACAACCUUCUGCUCCCAAGAAAUGCAAAAUGAGUAAGUAUGUAAUUACAGUUUAAAUCUAAUUUAGUGAAAAAUUGGUGUCUCUGAUCCAUUAUAAAGAUUUCAGGUCUACUCAUGCUCCCCUUUUGACAGGACCAGCCACACACAUUCUGCACCACUCGUGAGGUGGAGGUGCUGGUGUUCCUUUGGUGUCGUUGGGUGCUUGGGGUCAAGACAACUGGAAUUUUCUGCUUUCAUAAAAAUUACUUUUUUUUAAAUUAAAAAGUUUGGGGAUUGUUGUUGUGCUUCAAAGCAAUGACCAUUUCCCAAUGUUUCCCAGGAUAUGGAUGUUGUGGAAGAAUCCUGGCUGGAAAGCAAUGCCCCAUGGCACUGCCAAAGCUCAAUGUGCACCUGGGGGUCGAGAAAACAUCAAGGAAGGUUGGUCUCUGCUGUUUUCAAAUCAGCCAGGAAGAGCCCACUGUAUCUCCAGCUGAGAACUCAGAGUGGAGUUUUCAAGCAUCUUUUGCCACCUCUGUGGACUCUGCCCAAAAAGAUUGAUCCCUCAGAAAGUCUGAUGGUUUCGACUUCUAGACAAGUUAGCACUCUUGGAGAACACACUGUAACUUCUGUAUGGAUGAGAUUGACUGGGACUUAUGGAAUGGCAUCAUCUCUCUUAGCUCUAAACUGAGUUGAAUCCAACAUCCCUUUCCUGAAUUGACUAACAAAUCCAGCAGAAGUUUUUGAAGCACUUCUUUGCAAAUCUCAACCACAAAAGAAAAGCAGUCACGUCUACGGGUCCUGAACUGCCUCAAGGAAAAUGGAAACAUCAACAUUUACAGCUUUAACCACUACAUGGAGCAACAAACUCUCCCUGUGCUCCACACAUCACAAAGAGCCACCCAUGCUUCUGAGAGAUGCUCCUGGCUUUCGUGGCAAUGCAGGGCAGCAAAUGGGACAAAGGACUUCAAAGAGAUGGAAGACAGAAAAAAAAAACUACCUUCAGUCAUUCUGCUGGGACUGAAGAUGAGUAAGUUCUGGAUUUUACAUACCAAAGGCAUCAGAAGGGUGCAAGAAGCAUGAAGAUUUCAUUUAUUGAAUAUGAAAAUAUGAAUGAUUGGUAUAAAGCAGAAGUUUACUGCAGUUAUCACUUGAGUAGAGCUCACUUUUGACAAAGCUCAGUGAGAGAAGCAGGGGAACCAUUGUUUACCUUUUGGGUUUUUUCCCAUUCAUAGUAGAAAAAGAAAAAAAUUAGAGCCCUGUCAAACACAGGAGAUCCAUCUCAUGCAGGGUCUUGAAAUAUGGCUUUGCUCCAAACUGGAACAAAACUCCAAAAUUUCCAAAUAUUCAAUGAAGAAAUUUGUCAGAGAAAAACAAUCUAACCCAUGUUCACAGAAUUAGUUCACUUUGUCAGAACUGAAGUGCUCUGUUUUCACUUUGAUUACCUCUUAUUUAUGCAUCUAACUUGAUGCUAAAUAAAAUACCUCAUGCAAAAAUUUCAACUACAGCACUGGCAAAUGGCAUCAUCUGGAGUUACCAAAAUCUUCAUGGAUGUCUACUGAGAUGGUUGAGAAGUGAAUUUCAGUAAUUUAUUGGUGUGUACUUGCUCAUUCAGAUGAGCAAUAUUCAACCAUGUUGAGCAAGUCACCCAUCAUAGAACACCAAGAAGCAGGGAGGCCACCUGACAUACAGCCAGCCCUGCCCAGUGAUUCCAUCCCAGCAGUGCCUGAGGAACCCUAGAAGAUGUGAGGAGGGAUUAUCACAGCUUGGGCUCUGUGCCUCCAACCCACUGCUCCAGGUCCCAAACCUUUUCACACGAAGGAUGGACAGUCCUGGCAGACAACAUUAACAAGCUCCCUUCAUGAUUUGAGUCCUCAUGGACUGUAAGCUGGGUUUCCGUAACCUUGGAAGAUAUUCCUGCCAAUUAGCUUUGAUUUGGAAUCAGCAGCAGCACGGUCAGCAGGUGUGCCCAGCCCACACCAGGUGGGAUUUUAUGUGUCCUAGAACAACCACUGGCUAUAAUGAAAUAUUUGAUGGCUCCUUUAUCUUUUUUGUAAUUAUUUCCAGUCCCUAUCUAGAACAUAACCUGGGUGUGUAAGUGGGAAUAGGAGUUUGGAAACCACUGGAGCCAGCCCUGGGAAAAGGGCUGUGCUGCCCUUGCUCAGCUGCCAGUGCUGAUCCUG